rnacentral:tRNA from 1 species
GCCUUCUUAGCUCAGUGGUAGAGCGUUGGUCUCGUAUGUGAAUGAAAAACAUUGGAUAACCAAAGGCCGAGAGUUCAAUCCUCUCAGGAGGCA